GCCCAAAUAGCUCAGUGGUAGAGCGCUUCCAUGGUAAGGAAGAGGUCCCGAGUUCAAUCCUCGGUUUGGGCUCCA
rnacentral:tRNA from 1 species